rnacentral:snRNA from 1 species
CCAAAUGGGCUAUCUGGCUGUGACAUCUGUAUCCCAAUUGGUUGAUUCAGCUGACCCGGCUAUCUAUGCUGGUGUCCCCUUCCUCCAUCACUGUUGCAUGUGAGGGACUAUUGAAGCUGCUGAAUGCUGUGUCAAAAAGAAUAAUCCUCCUGGGAUACAAGAGGACUGGUCUUCUUUCAAGAAUAUGAGAGUAACUAUAGUCUCCUAUUGUAAUCUCUAAACAAGUUAUCAAUAUUCAUUCUAAGGUGUGUGAAUAUUCCCACCUUCUAAAAUGGUGAGAAAGCUAUUUGU